AGCACUUGAAGUGGGUAAAUAAAAUAAAUACUUAAUUAGGCUUCUUAGUUACAAAAAAAACAAAAACCUCUCAACAUCAACAAAGUGGUAGCAUGAAAACAUGCAUCCUAUCAAGCAACAAAAAGAAAACAUGGCAAGAAGGGAAAUCAGUUGGUCAGCACAAACAAGCAAAUUAACCAACAAACAAGUCUUAAGUGUACCAAGGGUUAACAUUUAAAUGACCUCCUCCAGUCAUUCUAGUGUGGAUGGCAUCCCCUGGUGGCCUGGAUGACAGUACUAUCAUUUUUCCCACUGAGCAGCCUUAAAGUCCUCAUAGCCAUAGGAUACAUGCAUACAUCCACAAAAUACUGUAUAAUGGAAACAAGUAUUCCAUUACUUGUGCUGUACCUGACCCUGAACCUUUUAACGGUGGCUAUGUGUGUGUUUAUGUGUGUAGGCAAUGUCACAGCCCUGUGUUGGGAUCCUGUGCAAAGGGUUUUAUUCUCUGGAAGUUCUGAUCAUUCAAUCAUCAUGUGGGACAUUGGAGGCCGUAAAGGAACAGCUUUUGAGCUGCAGGGACACAAUGAUAAAGUGCAGGGUUUGUGUUACGCUUCACACACCCGUCAACUCAUUUCCUGUGGCUCAGAUGGAGGAAUAGUUAUCUGGAACAUGGACGUCACACGGCAGGAGACUCCGGAGUGGCUUGACAGUGACUCGUGUCAGAAGUGUGAACAGCCGUUCUUCUGGAAUUUUAAACAGAUGUGGGACAGUAAGAAAAUCGGCCUGCGACAGGUACAGUGCACA